UCUUCCUAGACUUCAUAGUUGUCUCUCUCUAUUAGCUCAUUUGCUUCAUCACAGCACCUUUGUUGUUCUCAACACUGCUGAUUCACCAUGGCCAUCCGAGAGAUAGUUUUGGGUUCCUUCUUGGCGUCCUUUUUUGAGGUCCUAUUUGACAAGUUGACUUCUCUAGCAUUGGGCUAUGUGCAGCAAGAAGGAAUCAGCGUUGCCCUGCUCGAGGAGUGGAAGGAGAUGCUGGUCACAAUCGAUGCAGUGCUAGCUGAUGCAGAAGAAAGGCAACUCGAUGGUAACCAUCUAGUGAAGCUGUGGCUGGACGAUGUUAGGGACUUGGCUUAUGACAUGGAAGACUUGCUCGAUGAGUUCGCGCUCAAAGUUGUUCAAGUUAAGUCAGAGGUAGAAUCCGGCACAAGCAUAGGCGGGGUGAAAUGGAAGUUCUCUUGCUUUGGCCAACAUAAAUCCUCUAUGUUGAAUCUGAUCCCACGCUCACUUGUGUCUAAAACCAAGGUCCAGGAGAUCAAGGGCAGGUUGGAAACAAUUGUCACCGGAAAGGCUCGUCUAAGCUUAAAAGAGAAUGUUGUGGACAGAUCUAACUACACCAACAAAAGGGAUCCCACCUCUUCUCUACCAGAGCCUCGGUUUUUUGGUAGGGAGAAGGAAGAAGCACAGGUACUCGAACUAUUGAUCAGUGAGGUCGAAAAUUCCGAUGCCACGCUAAGCAUAGUCCCCAUAGUUGGGAUGGGUGGUGUUGGAAAGACAGCCUUGGCUCAACGAUUGUAUAAUGAUUCCAAAGUGAAAAGCUACUUCGAGAGGAGAGCUUGGGUUUGUGUGUCGGAUGUUUUUGAUGUUCUUGACAUAACAAAGACUAUAUUGCGGUCAUUCACCGGGUUGUCCUGCGAGGGUGAAGAUCUUGAUGGGCUUCAAGUUAAGUUGAAAGAUAGUUUAUCUGGAAAGAAGUUUCUUGUGGUUUUAGAUGAUGUCUGGAAUGAGAAUUACGGAAAAUGGACUGACCUCUUAAAGCCAUUUGAAGCAGGGGCCAAGGUAAGCAAGAUUAUCAUCACAACUCGCAACCUUCCUGUUGCUUCCAUAAGAGGAGCUUCGCCAUAUCCUUUGGAGGAGUUGUCCCUUGAUAAUUGUACAAGCUUAUUAGCCUUUCAUGCUCUUGGAGUGACAAAUUUUAAGAGCCACCCAUAUCUUGAAGCAAUAGGCAAGGAAUUAGCUGAAAAAUGUAAAGGCUUACCUUUGGCAGCGAAGAUGUUGGGUGGUGCCCUAUGUAAUGAAAGGAAUCCUGGUAAAUGGAAAUCCAUCUUAAAUAAUAGAAUAUGGGAUCUUCCAAAGGGAAAAAAAGAUGAGGUUCUCCCAGUUUUGAAAUUGAGCUAUGUCCAUCUUCCUUCUUACUUGAAGAGAUGUUUUGCUUAUUGUGCGGUGUUUCCCAAGGAUUAUGAAAUUGAGAAGGAUGAGCUGGUACUCUUAUGGAUAGCGGAGGGCUUUUUGGAUGGACAAAAAGCAAAUGAUGACAUCUCGAGAUUGGGAUGGGAUCACUUCGAUGAGUUGGUAUCUAGAUCAUUUCUUCAACAAUCAAGAUUUGACGCAUCUAAGUUUUCAAUGCAUGAUCUUCUUAAUGAUCUAGCAAAGUCAAUUGCAGGUAGGACAUGCUUUAGCUCAGGGGAGUCUUUGCUAGCAGCUGAUGAAGAUGAUGCAUCUCUUGAAAAAGCUAGGUAUGCAUCAUUCAUCUCGACGCUAUUCGUUACAUCAAAAAGCUUGAGAGCAUACGAACACAUGAAGGUAAUAAGAAGUUUAAUGUUACUGCAUGAUAGAUUCAGUUGGAAAGACAAAUUUCACAUUUCCAAUAAAGUGUUACAAGACUUGUUGAUAAAAUUGAAAUACUUGAGGGUGUUCUCGUUAUGUCAUUGUUCCAUCAUAGAGGUACCGAAUUGUGUUGGUGAUUUAAAACACCUUCGAUAUCUCAAUUUCUCAUACACGGAUAUUAAAAGGCUACCGGAGUCAAUUGUUGCCCUGUGCAAAUUACAAGCUUUGAUCUUAAGAGGUUGUCGCAAGUUUUCUAUGUUGCCUCCAGGGAUCACAAAAAUGAUCAACUUACGGUUUCUUGACAUUAGAGAUACAAAGAGUCUAAAAGAGAUGCCAUUGGAUAUUAGUAAUUUGAAGAAUCUUAUUAUCUUGUCCAAAUUUAUAGUAGGACCAAAGAAAGGAACACAAAUAAAGGAGUUAAAGAACUUGUCACAUCUUCAAGGAGAAUUGUUCAUAUCAGAAUUGCAAAAGGUGGAAGAAGUAAGAGAUGCAGUUGAUGCUAAUUUGAUUGGAAAGCGAGGCAUUAACAAAUUGUUCUUGCAUUGGGGUAACAAUUUUGGAAACAUUCGAAAUGAUGAGCAUGAAGCACUGGUGCUUCGCUCUCUACGGCCUAACACUAAUCUUGAAAAUCUCACCAUCUCUGAUUAUGGUGGUGUAAUAUUCCCAAGAUGGUUAGAUGAUCCAUCCUAUUCUAAAAUGGUGUCAUUAUGCUUGCGGGAUUGUCCUAAAGUUACAUUGUUGCCGUCACUUGGACAGCUACCUUCACUUAGAGAAUUAUCUCUUGAAGGUUUAAAUACAAUAAGCAUGAUAAGCUCUGAAUUUUAUGGAGGUAAAAAGCCUUUUUCAUCCUUAACAACUUUGAAAUUUGACGAAAUGUGGGAAUGGAAGGAUUGGUAUGCUAAGGGCUCAGGAGAAGAAGUCCCAUUCUCUUGUCUUCAGCAUCUUGUUGUCCGAAGCUGUAUUUCGUUAGUUGGGACAUUGCCUCAUCAACUUGAUCAUCUCACGAAGCUUGAAAUUCAUUCAUGCCCACAUUUGAAUAACUCAACCAGUGUAGUUUGUGUUCCAUCUCUUCGUGAGUUAUACCUUGAGGAUUGUAAUGAGGAGAUCAUGAAGAGUUUUGCAAACCUAACUUCUUUAACCAUUCUCAAAAUUAGGAAUCUUGCAAAGCUUGUUUGCUUUGAUCAUGGGUAUAUGAGUUGCUUGGUCAAGUUAAAGGAGCUUCAUAUAGGACAAUGUGACAAGUUAACACACUUGUGGCAAGAUGGAAAUGAAAUGCAAAAUCUUAUUUGCCUUCAGAGUUUAGUCAUCGAUAGUUGUCUUCAAUUCACAUCUUUUGUGGCUGGAGAAGGAGAAAUACAACUACCUUGCAACCUUGAAAGGAUGGAAUUGAGGGGUUGCACGAGUUUAGAAAAGCUUCCAAGCAAGAUGCACACACUCAGACAUUUGAGCAUUUGGAAUUGUCCUAAACUCAUAGGAUUAACCAUUCCUCUAGAUGAUCGCAGCAGUAACAACUUGAUAUCUCAACUUGAAUAUUUGAAAUUAGAUGAAUGUGAUUCUCUAACAUCCUUUCCCUUUGCCAAGGGUACAAUUCCUGCUUUGAAGACACUUUAUAUUUGUGGGUGCAAUGGAGUGGAGUAUUUGGAAGAAAUUACCGUAGAAUCACUAAAUACUUUGGGUAUUGCUAGCUGCAAGAAUCUGGGAAGCCUACCACAGUGCAUUCACACGCUCUCUCAUCUCACUCAUUUGGAAAUAUUUAAUUGUCCAACAUUGGAGAUAGAGGACUUCCCUCCCGUUCCCAUCACCCUGUCACUUUUAUCUCUCAUUGAAUGUCCGAAGAUAAAGUCUCUACCAAAUCAAUGGCAUCAUCUUACAUUCCUCCAGGAACUAUACAUUAGUGCUUGUGGAAAUAUCAAAUGCUUCCCCGAAGGAGGUUUGCCUCCCAAUUUGCGGCGGCUUAUAAUUUUAGGGUGUGAGAAUCUAAAGCAGCCAGUAGGAGAAUGGGGCUUAUACAUGCUCACAUCCCUCAAGUAUUUGACAAUUGACUUGAGCAUGGGAAGGGAGGGAGAGAAAGCGUGGUUUCCUUCGGAGGACAAGAAGGAGGAGGAUGCGUGGAGUCUUCUAUUUCCUUCCUCUCUAACCUAUCUUUCCAUUUACAAUAUGAGGAACGUUGAAAGACUAUCAAGUGGUUUUCGCAACCAUCUCUCGUCUCUCAAAUGGUUAUGCUUUAUGAUUUGCCCGAAAUUGAGGUACUUGCCAGCGGAUGGACUUCCUCCCUCCCUCCAAGUAUUGGGGAUAGAAGGAUGCGAGAUGCUAAAACAUCAAUGCUCAAAACUCACCGGACAGUAUUGGCCCCUAAUCCAAGAGAUCCCUCUCAUCGACAUUGAUCGGGUUCAGAUCCAAUGAAUUGCGAUCGACUACAUCCGAACCAUGCUAAAAGAUUUGUCUUUGUUGACUACAGUCAAGUUUCCUAAAGUUCAGAUGUUUCACAUAAAUUUCCAAAACCAACCACUGAAGCUCAAAGACUGACAUUUGGAUAAUAUUGUGAUUUGUAUUGGCAAAAUCUCUUGGAAGGAUCACUUGCGAAUGCUAUUGAGGUGGUCAGAAAAGCAGAGUUGCAUUUGCCAAGAUAACUUUCAAGAAACCUCAGAUAGCUUUGCUUGACGGCUAUCAUCUGGUUAGUCAAGAUGAGCAUCUAAUCUGUAAGCAUGGACGAGCUCUGGGUGGUUCCUAAAGGCAAGGUGACGCCUUUCCAUGCAGAUUUCCAGGAUUUAUAAGAAGAUACUUCUACUCUCAUGGAAUCAGAUGAGUUUAGUUCUUGUCAUCAGCAAAGAGUGGUUCACCGGGGUCACACUUCCUUACAAAACAGAAAUUGAGUCUUAGCUACAGAGAGAAAGCAAAGAAGGACAGAGGAUGGCUGCUGGUAUGCAGGACAUACUUACAAUUACAUCAGCCCUUAUUUAUCAUAUAAACUUGAUUAGCGCUUGUGGAACUCAAGUAUUUUACAUUGAGUAUGCAGUGCCAUUUGCCAAUAGUUUCGGAGGCAACUAAGUGUCUGUUUUACGAGAAGUCAACUGUAGAGAAACAUUUUCCCCAUUUUCAUUUUUUUGGCACUGUUUAGGAGAAUUUUAUAGAAAAUAUUUUCUUAGUCAACAAAAAAUUUGUACUUUCUUGCAAUAACAACUACUGUAGAGAUGGAAGAAUGGAUUGAAAACAGAGGUUUUGAAUACGUGAAUAUAACAGCAAAAUUCUGAAUGAGCCCUUCACAUAAAAACCCAUAUUCAAACUAUUGCCUAGAUCAUCUUUCUUAUAUUCAAAUAUCCAUUCCAUCUCUUGACAACAUUUGAC